rnacentral:rRNA from 1 species
UGGGGAAUAUUGCACAAUGGGCGCAAGCCUGAUGCAGCCAUGCCGCGUGUGUGAAGAAGGCCUUCGGGUUGUAAAGCACUUUCAGCGAGGAGGAAGGUGGUGAACUUAAUACGUUCAUCAAUUGACGUUACUCGCAGAAGAAGCACCGGCUAACUCCGUGCCAGCAGCCGCGGUAAUACGGAGGGUGCAAGCGUUAAUCGGAAUUACUGGGCGUAAAGCGCACGCAGGCGGUUUGUUAAGUCAGAUGUGAAAUCCCCGGGCUCAACCUGGGAACUGCAUUUGAAACUGGCAAGCUAGAGUCUCGUAGAGGGGGGUAGAAUUCCAGGUGUAGCGGUGAAAUGCGUAGAGAUCUGGAGGAAUACCGGUGGCGAAGGCGGCCCCCUGGACGAAGACUGACGCUCAGGUGCGAAAGCGUGGGGAGCAAACAGGAUUAGAUACCCCUGGUAGGUCCACGCUGUAAAACGAUGUCGAUUUUGGAGGUUGUGCCCUUGAGGCGUGGCUUCCGGAGCUAACGCGUUAAAUCGACCGCCUGGGGAGUACGGCCGCAAGGUUAAAACUCAAAUGAAUUG